CCAACACUAACCACAAACACACUCACCCAGCACCACUAUCCUCUCCUUUCCGAAACUACAGAGCAUGAACUAAACCUAUCCCCCAGCCACCCAGCACGGUAGCCCGCCACCCGCAGCCACCGCACUAUUUGCCGCCACUGCAGCCACGCAGCCCCCGCAUCCGACCUCACAACUACUGCAGCUCCCUGCAACCCCCCCACACCCGCGCAGACCCACAACGGCGCAGCCACCGCAGCCCCUACACCCACGCAAAAUCCUCUCUCCCUCCCAAAAUCCACAUUCCCUCGUAACUUGGAAAAAAAAAGAUAACCUUAGCUAGCCAAGCCCUCUUUCUUCUUCUGGGUGCAAAACCCUCGUCGUCUUGCUCCAACCCUUGUGUGUUGUUGCCGCCAGUGCUCGCCUGCGUCGUUUCGUUCUUCUUCUUCUUCUACCUCUUUUCGUUUCGUUCUUCGGCGCCGUGUCGUUCUUCUUCUUCCUUCGUGUGAGUUUCGCCUCAACCGUCACUGUCACUAUCGUCGUUGCCACCUCAUCUUCUCAAACGCAGAACCAGAACCAGUUGCCAGUUACGCCGAACCGGUUGCACGAAGUUGCCGCUCCUUCACCGGUCGGCAAUUCGUCGUCGCUCCGCCACUUCUCUGUCGCCUCUUUGCUGUGCUUUGUUUCCAUCAUUGCCGCCGUUCCUGGUCUCAGAGAUAAGAAGUGUGUGCCAUGCAAUCUGAAGGAACUGCGACCGAUGACCGAGGAUGCAGCACACACUUUGAUGCCACAGGUUUUUGAGUGGAAUUUGGUAAAAGAAGAUGGCAUAUUUCAACUGAAGAGGACAUGGAAAGUAAAUUAAAGACUUUCACCAAAGGCUUGGAAUUCUUCAAGAUAGAAGCUGACCUUGCUGAAAGUGAAGUAAUUGGGAGAGAGUGGAAGAAGAUUUUCGGAGAGCAAUUCAGCUUGACAAUCAUUCGGUUAAGGUGAAAAACAUUACAAGAUAAGCGAACAAAUUAGAGAAGAAUUUUUUUUUGGUUUUCAAAGGACGAGAAGAAUAUGUACUAUAUUAUUAGAAAAUAUUUUUUGGUUUUUAUAGUAUAAUAUUUUGAUAUUUUUUGUAAUUUUU